GACAGAGGGUGCUAGCGUUGUUCGGAAUUACUGGGCGUAAAGGGCGCGUAGGCGGCCAACUAAGUCAGACGUGAAAUCCCUUGGCUCAACCAAGGAACUGCGUCUGAUACUGGAUGGCUUGAAUCCGGGAGAGGGAUGUGGAAUUCCAGGUGUAGCGGUGAAAUGCGUAGAUAUCUGGAGGAAUACCAGUGGCGAAGGCGGCUUUCUGGGCCUACCCUGACGCUGAGGAGCGAAAGCGUGGGGAGCAAACCGG
rnacentral:rRNA from 1 species